AACGCACCUUGCACCCUUUGGUAUUCCGAAGGGUAUGCUCGUUUGAGUGUCAUUGUACUCUCACACUCCCGAUCUUGGUUGGGAGCGGUGGACUUGGGUGCUGCUGCUUACCGUGGCUCACCUCAAAUGGAUUCGUGCAUCUCUUGGUUGGACAUAGUACGGCGUGAUAAGUGUCUUCGCCGGCGCCUCACUUUGAGGGUGGCCGAUCGGGAGCUCUGUGCUUCUAACCGUCCUCGGACAACAACUGACAACUUGACCUCAAAUCGAGUAGGACUACCCGCUGAACUUAA
rnacentral:misc_RNA from 1 species